AUUUUCCUAUCUUGCAGAGCCAUCCAUUCAAAUAUGGUUAAUAUCUUCUACCCUGUAUUUACUGUACCACUUGAAUAGAGACGUGCAUUUAUUUUAGUCGAUCAAUUUUUCUGCUGUAGCAAUACUUUUUGUUGUCAUCCUGGUUGUGCUCCAAUUCACUAUUUCCAUGAAUUAAUGUUAGGUACUCCGUCAGCAUGUUCACAUCAUGUGCUAGCCUGCUUUUAAAGGUCUAUUCAAGUGGAUGACGACAACUGUAUGAGGGUAGAGAGGAAUGAGUUUUCUGGAACACGGCUUCGUAUUUUAGUGUAUGGUGGGUACAGGUAUUGUUUGGUUCAAAAUUUAGACCUUUUUACCAAUAAUUAGUAGCAAAAUUUAUGAUUGUUGAGAAGAGAGGUGAAGCUAAAGACUUCGGUACUAUUCUUAGGAUACUAUAUGUUGCUUCCAGGCCAUGUAUAAGAAUUGUUCAGUUACUUGAGAGAUUGUUGAACAUAUGAAAUUGAUGGAAGUCUUUGGGCACCCUCAAGUUAAGUUGCUUGAAGACCAAGUUCAAAUAUGUGUGAGGGCAGUGCAGUUGGGCAUGCCAGUGUAGUA